rnacentral:rRNA from 1 species
GAUGAACGCUGGCGGCGUGCCUAAUACAUGCAAGUCGAGCGAACAGAUGAGGAGCUUGCUCCUCUGACGUUAGCGGCGGACGGGUGAGUAACACGUGGAUAACCUACCUAUAAGACUGGGAUAACUUCGGGAAACCGGCGCUAAUACCGGAUAAUAUAUUGAACCGCAUGGUUCAAUAGUGAAAGACGGUUUUGCUGUCACUUAUAGAUGGAUCCGCGCCGCAUUAGCUAGUUGGUAAGGUAACGGCUUACCAAGGCAACGAUGCGUAGCCGACCUGAGAGGGUGAUCGGCCACACUGGAACUGAGACACGGUCCAGACUCCUACGGGAGGCAGCAGUAGGGAAUCUUCCGCAAAGGGCGAAAGCCUGACGGAGCAACGCCGCGUGAGUGAUGAAGGUCUUCGGAUCGUAAAACUCUGUUAUUAGGGAAGAACAAAUGUGUAAGUAACUAUGCACGUCUUGACGGUACCUAAUCAGAAAGCCACGGCUAACUACGUG